GGCAUUGUGGCUCAGUGGUAGUGUGCUCACCUAGAAAGUGCGAGGCCCUGGGUUCAAUCCUCAGCACCA
rnacentral:tRNA from 1 species